rnacentral:rRNA from 1 species
GAGUUUGAUCAUGGCUCAGGAUGAACGCUAGCGGGAGGCUUAACACAUGCAAGUCGAGGGGUAUAAGUAGCAAUAUUUAGAGACCGGCGCACGGGUGAGUAACGCGUAUGCAACCUGCCCUUUACAGGGGGAUAGCCCGUAGAAAUGCGGAUUAAUACCCCAUAGUACUAUUGGAUCGCAUGGUUUGAUAGUUAAAGUUUCGGUGGUAAAGGAUGGGCAUGCGUGACAUUAGCUAGUUGGAGAGGUAACGGCUCACCAAGGCUACGAUGUCUAGGGGUUCUGAGAGGAAGAUCCCCCACACUGGUACUGAGACACGGACCAGACUCCUACGGGAGGCAGCAGUGAGGAAUAUUAGUCAAUGGGCGAGAGCCUGAACCAGCCAUCCCGCGUGCAGGAAGAAUGCCCUAUGGGUUGUAAACUGCUUUUUCGCAUGAAGAACACUCCGGACGUGUCUGGAGCUGACGGUAAUGCGUGAAUAAGCACCGGCUAACUCCGUGCCAGCAGCCGCGGUAAUACGGAGGGUGCAAGCGUUAUCCGGAUUUAUUGGGUUUAAGGGGUGCGUAGGCGGUAAUAUAAGUCAGUGG